AGAACGAACGCUGGCGGCAUGCCUAACACAUGCAGGUCGAACGAGACCUUCGGGUCUAGUGGCGCACGGGUGCGUAACGCGUGGGAAUCUGCCCUUGGGUUCGGGAUAACAGUUGGAAACGACUGCUAAUACCGGAUGAUGACUUCGGUCCAAAGAUUUAUUGCCCAGGGAUGAGCCCGCGUAGGAUUAGCUAGUUGGUGAGGUAAAGGCUCACCAAGGCGACGAUCCUUAGCUGGUCUGAGAGGAUGAUCAGCCACACUGGGACUGAGACACGGCCCAGACUCCUACGGGAGGCAGCAGUGGGGAAUAUUGGACAAUGGGCGAGAGCCUGAUCCAGCAAUGCCGCGUGAGUGAUGAAGGCCUUAGGUGUAAAGCUCUUUACCCGGGAAGAUAAUGACUGUACCGGAGAAUAAGCCCCGGCUAACUCCGCGCCAGCAAGCCG
rnacentral:rRNA from 1 species